GUGUUGUAUGAAAGGAGAGAAGUUAGCACUCCCCUUGACAAGGAUGGAAGAGGCCCUUGGGCCUAACAACAUGCACAUGGUUAAGGCAAACAUAUUUUAGCAGAUCUGUGAAUAAAAUGUAUUA
rnacentral:ncRNA from 1 species